UCCGAUUGUAAUGGACACAUGUAAUACUGCUGAUGAGCUGGCUGCUGACGGGCUGGUCCUGGGGCUGGCUGCUGAUGGACUGGUCCUGGGGCUGGCUGAGGGUCAAUCUCAUCCUCUUCUUCCAACUCAUUGUCAUGAUCCAAUUUGCACCUGGCUGGGGUAGAGUGUGGGAAAAUACAGCAUUUUUUACAAUGUAUCGAAAUAAUGUAUUAUUAUAACAUUGUGCAGGUUCCCGCAAGACAUUGUGUAGUUUCACACACUACGAAGGGUAAAGAGUGCGAGAAAAGCGGGAGACAGGCAGACAGGCAGGGAGAUAGACAGGUUCUUGGCGCUAUGUUGAAACAGCAGGCCCAGGGAGGAGACCCGAACACCACAUAUGUAAUAUGAAUGUGAAGGGGGUGCACAGUGUGCACUCAAUGAAAAUGUGUUCUUUUAAAUGUUCUUCACAGAAAAUGAGCCAAGGCCAAUGAGUCUCAGGUUGAAAAAAGAAUUAAUUGUAUAAUUGUUAUUUUAUUUAAAUAUCGAACACCACACAUGGGUUAAAGUAAAACACACCAGGAGUAGAUUGUAACGUUUGCUUCCAGCUCACACUCUCAAACACAUAGAUCCCCUGAACGCAGCCUACUUUCCAGCUCACACUCUCAAACACAUAGAUCCCCUGAACGCAGCUCACUCUCCAGAUCUCAAUCACCUGAAUACUGAUCACCUGUUCACACACCUGUAUGUCAUUUACACACACUAUUUAGUUCCCCAUCAUUGUGAGGUAUUGUUUGUUUUGAUACACAUUCUAUUCGGAGGUCUGUUCAUUUCCGUUUUAGUCCUCCCGUAUAUUGUAGAUUUUGGCCAUCCUCACUAACAACGCCUUUUUGCCUAUUCCCUGCCUGUACUUUUGCCUAUCAAAUUUCCUGUCAUCAACCUCCUGCCUGAUCUCCUGGACUACAUUGUUAGCAUUUUCCCUGCCUGUACUGUUAGCAUUUUCCCUGCCUGUACUGUUACCUUUUUAGAGUCCCUGUGUAUGACCUUCUGCCUGCCCCUGGACCCAGCUACCUGCCUCCUCCUGUGGUCCUUUACUAAUAAACACCUGCUG
rnacentral:lncRNA from 1 species